UUCCAAUAGAAAUCCAUUACAAUAUAUAUAAGAGCUGACAUUUCUGGUUCUUGCUCACCUUAAUUUGUCAUCUUUCAAAAGCUAACCAGCAGGAGUCAUUUGCACCAGCAGAAUAAUCAGCCCUGAGAACGGGAGAACCAUAAGGAUGAAACCACCGUGCUUGGUCUUGGGCCUUUUAGCUCUUGUAGCAUGUUUCUCGCCUGGUGAGAGUCAAAGAGGCCUCAGGGGACCAUAUCCACCUGGACCACAGCCACCUCCACCUCCUCCUCCACCACCUGUUCCUUUUGGCCCAGAACUUGUUCCACCCCCUCCUCCACCCAAUGGUCCAGGAAGAAUUCCACCACCCCCUCCUCCUUACGGCUCAGGUUAUCCAUAUCCACCUUUCUAACCAAGACCUUAUCCACCUGGACCUCCACUGUUCCCUGCAUAGCCUUCGAUUUAUCCUCCCUUCUUUAAUUCAGCACUUCAAAUAUUAACUCCUACAAUGGUCUCCACUACAACCACAAUGGACCCCACUUCUCCCACAACUACUGCUUCUACUACUCAGAAUACACAACUGCUUCUACGACCCAAACUGAAAAUUAUCAGAGCCUUUUAGAUAAAAUCCUUUCCAUUUUUGGAUGAAGAUGAAAUGUUCCAAAAGCUCUGAGCUUUGGGGAGAAACAAUCUUAGAAAGAAAUUGUAAAACAACUCACACAAACAUUACGCCAAGAAAGUGAAAAUAAAAAGUUGAGCAACAAUAUGAAACCUCUAGUGUUGUCAUAAGAGCCAAGAGUUUGUCCCCAGUUAUGCCACUCAAAUGAAGAUACUGCUGCCAGAAGUCUGGCCUUGUACCAUGAGGCCAAAAACGGUAAUUAGGGAAAAAUAUAGCAAGAUAGCUGGACUUGUACUUAGGAUGACGAAGCUAGAAGAGGAAGCAACGGGAUGCCCUCUUGAGUACCACAAUCCAUCAUACAACUACAAAACACAAAAUAACAUGUUAAUAAAUAUCAAAAUUAAAUAAUCUUAGCUUUCCCCACAGCAUGC
rnacentral:lncRNA from 1 species